rnacentral:rRNA from 1 species
AUUGAACGCUGGCGGCAGGCCUAACACAUGCAAGUCGAGCGGAGCGGCGGACGGGUGAGUAAUGCCUAGGAAUCUGCCUGGUAGUGGGGGAUAACGUCCGGAAACGGGCGCUAAUACCGCAUACUAUCAGAUGAGCCUAGGUCGGAUUAGCUAGUUGGUGGGGUAAAGGCCUACCAAGGCGACGAUCCGUAACUGGUCUGAGAGGAUGAUCAGUCACACGGAACCGGAGAACGGGUCAAGACUCCAACGGAGGGCAGCAGUGGGGAAUAUUGGAAAAGGGGCGAAAGCUGGUCCAGCCCUGGCGGGGGGUGUGAAGAAGGUUUUCGGAUGGUAAAGCACUUUAGUUGGGGAGCGUUACCAACAGAAUAAGCACCGGCUAACUUCGUGCCAGCAGCCGCGGUAAUAC